AAUAAAAAUACUUUCUUUAACAAAAACAAACAGUAUUUUCUUAUAAGGCAUCAAGCCAAUAAUAAUGUCCUUUCAUUUAACAGAUCAGCUUCUGCUGUGGAAAUGGAGCCUUGGAGUGGUGUGCAUGAUAAGAUGUUGAGUAAACCUGCAGGAAAGGAAGGCCCAUCAUUCAUUCACCAAACAGAAACAUACAAGAGAACAAAGAGAGCCUAGCGCGGGGUGGUUUCAUAUUUUACAUGGAAAGAGGCUACAAUUACGUGUGUGGUCAGGUCAGUUCCAUGGCCCCUGUUCCCUACUCUUUACUCUCUUCCGCUGACCCAGCAGAGGAUUCUCCCCGUUAGGCUGUUUGCCGUGGGAAGGUUGAACUAUGUCUUUUCUGAGUCCUCAAGACCUAGCACAGUGACUGGUACAGAGCAGGCAUUGAAAAAAAUGUUUGCUGAAAGCUUAACGCAAGGGGUGUAAGGGAGAAGGGAAAAAAGAAGAGUGGGGAAAGGAAAGCAAGAAAGGAAAGAAGGAAGAAUAAAGAAAUAAAUCAAUGUCAAUUAAAAAAGAAGAAAGAAAGAGAAAGAAAGAAAGAAAGAAAGAAAGAAAGAAAGAAGAAAGAAAGAAAGAAAGAAAGAAAGAAAGAAAGAAAGAAAGAAAGAAAGAAAGAAAGAAAUGUCUUUUAACAACCUAAACGUCCUGGCCUAGACCCACAGUGGAAUCCUUCUACCUGUGAAUGUACCCGCUGGGACCUCUAUCUACUAUGGACUCCAAACGCCUAAGAGUUGCCUACUUUGGGUUUUUCUGCCCCUUCUGUUCCACCUACUUUGCAGGGUGGACGUGUUGGGCUCCGAAGCCAUCCUGUUCCCGUUGCACAGAAGCUCCCUACGCCUUAUCAUCCCCGGGCUGUCCGGGGCAGCAGGGCAACUGCCGAUCUUUAAGAACAUGUUCUCCUCCAUUAAAGAGAAAUCUGAAGUUCAAAAGACUGACACCAAGUCCAGAGCCCCAACAAAAAAUUAAACAUUUAAAUUAAUAACUGCAAUUUUUAACAAAGACUAAUUACAAAACAUAAAGGCCAAACAGGGAACUUGAUUUAUAUUAUCAACUUCAAAGUAACAAAGACAGAAAACGGACUGAGAGGCCUUCCAGGUGCUAAUAAUCAAUUAGGUCAUAUUCAUGGGAAAGAACCCCCAGCCCCCAUCCCUCCAUCUCCUGGCUCAAGUGGCUUAUACAAUAGGGACCCCGGAACGAGGAAACAGGUGGUGGCUCCCUAGCUUUGCAGACUUCAGAGCUGUUUAUUAGUUUGACAUGGGAGCUUCAGUGCCUCCACUACUGUUGUCCAAGGACACGCUGCAGGCCAGGCUCCAGCAUUGCCUUCAGGCUGCGGUACAGAAAGGACAAAACCCAGAGGCUGAGGUCGGAGAGAACACAGGUCAAGCAUCACAGCGCUGAGAAGGGCAACCUUCGCCAUUCCUAGUUCGUGUGCACCUGGUCCAGUCAUUCUGCUGAACGUACUGGAGCAAGCGACCCUCCUUAGGAAUAUGGUUCAGGAACGCUCUGAUUAAAAUCUGAUUUUCUGAAAUGUUUCAAAUAAGAUCGACGACGGACAAUAGAACCGACCCUAUCAGUUGUAACCCAGACUCACUGGACUUUGGCUGCAACAUGUCCAGCCCCUGAAACAGGACAAGUAUAAUGAAAACAGCAGCUUUUCACUUGCUGCAAUAAUGAUAAUAAUAAUACAUAACGUUUAUUAAGUGCUUUUGUGCAUUUUACAUAUUUUGUCUAAUCCUAAUUGUUACAUUCUAAAUAAAUAUAUUUUGCUUAAAAU
ensembl:lncRNA